ACUGAGGAAUGAUGACAAUAAAAGGCCGAAUUGCAGUGUCUCCAUCAGCAGUUUGCUCUCUCUGUGGGGACACAAUGACAAAACCUCCCGAAGCGAACCACUGGUCUGACCUCAGU
rnacentral:snoRNA from 1 species